AUGGGGAGCUCCCAACGCCCCCGUCUAGGGUGGAAGCGCGCCGCACGUGGUUGAGUUAACGUCGUGGGGAAUCUUACCCCCUUGUACCUACGGGAAUAACGCAGGGCAAACAUUGAUGCCUAAUACCGUAUGCUGUCCUUUCGAGGAGAUAAGAUUUAUCGGUCAAGGAUGAGCCCGCGUUUGGAUUAGCUAGCUUGGUGGGGUAAAGGCCUACCACGGCGACGAUCCAUAGCUGGUCUGAGAGGAUGAUCAGCCACAUUGGGACUGAGACACGGCCCAAACUCCUACGGGAGGCAGCAGUGGGGAAUAUUGGACAAUGGGCGCAAGCCUGAUCCAGCCAUGCCGCGUGAGUGAUGAAGGCCCUAGGGUUGUAAAGCUCUUUCACCGGAGAAGAUAAUGACGGUAUCCGGAGAAGAAGCCCCGGCUAACUUCGUGCCAGCAGCCGCGGUAAUACGAAGGGGGCUAGCGUUGUUCUGAAUUACUGGGCGUAAAGCGCACGUAGGCGGAUCGAUCAGUUCAGGGGUGAAAUCCCAGGGCUCAACCCUGGAACUGCCUUUGAUAUUGUCGAUCUGGAGUAUGGAAGAGGUGAGUGGAAUUCUCGAGUGCACAGGUGAAAUUCGUAUAUUUUUCGGAGGAACACCAACUGGCGAAGGCGGCUCACUGGUCCAUUACUGACGCUGAGGUGCGAAAGCCUUGGGGAGCAAAACAGGAUUAGAUUACCCCUGGUACUCCACGCCCGUAAAACGAUGCAAUGUUUAGCCCGUCCGGGCUACUAUUACUGCUUCGGUGGGCGCCAGCUAAACGCAUUUAAACACUUCCGGCCUUGGGUGAUUUCCGGUCCUCAAGAUUUAAAAACUCCACAGGAAUUUGACGGGGGCCCCGCACCAAAGCGGUAGGAGUCAUGUGGG
rnacentral:rRNA from 1 species